rnacentral:rRNA from 1 species
UACGUAGGGUGCAAGCGUUAAUCGGAAUUACUGGGCGUAAAGCGUGCGCAGGCGGUUCGCUAAGACCGAUGUGAAAUCCCCGGGCUUAACCUGGGAACUGCAUUGGUGACUGGCGGGCUAGAGUAUGGCAGAGGGGGGUAGAAUUCCACGUGUAGCAGUGAAAUGCGUAGAGAUGUGGAGGAACACCGAUGGCGAAGGCAGCCCCCUGGGCCAACACUGACGCUCAGGCACGAAAGCGUGGGGAGCAAACAGG